GCUGCUAAAAAUCAUGAAACUGUCAAUACAUCACCCUCAAAGGUAGUACUGUCUCUCUGUGACCACAUACUCAACUUAGGUCACACACUAGCCACAGAUAACUGGUAUACCAGCCUUGAUUUAGCCAAUGAACUUCUCGAUAAAGACACACAUCUGGUUGGGACGCUGCGAAAAAACAGAAAAGGUUUGCCGAAGAACGUGGUGGAGGCUAAAUUAAGGCCAGGAGAAACCAUCGCAAUGGAAAAUGAGCGUGGAAUAUGUGUUCUCAAAUGGAAAGACAAACGUGACGUUUUAAUGCUUUUGACAAAACAUUCGAAGUCGAUGACGA